ACACACCUUCACUUUCUUUCUUCUUUCCUUCUUCCUAUAUGGCACCUUCCCAUCAUGUAUUGUUGGGUUUUGGGUGCAUCCUUAACUUUAUAUUUAUCUUGGGUUAAGAAUGAAGGUUGGCGUCAUGUUCAGGUAGAGACUGACAAUCAAAGUGCCUGCUUCUUUUUGAAUUCGUCAUCUCCGUAUUAUUUUUAUGCUGGUCGUAUUAUCGAGAGAUGUCAUUUACUUGUAAGCACUUUGAUAAAGUGUUCUUCAGAUAUAUUCGUAGGUCAGCUAAUGUGUUUAUCCACACCUUAGUUAGGACGCUAGAUUCUCAGGCUGAUUCAUUUAUUUGGUUAUCUUCUAUUUCUUGUAUUCAACAUUUCUUCCAUUAAUAUAUGGCUUUGGUUUUUGUCAUA